AGGUUGUUCAUGAAGGUUUGUUGGAGGGCUUUGUAAUAGCUUCUCUCACAGGAGCAUCUCUAUGUGUUUCCCAUUUGCUGUAUGCAGAUGAUGUACUAAUCUUUUGUGGGGCAAUGCCGAAACAGGUGGGUUACUUGCGAUGUGUUUUGCUGUGUUUCGAGGCAGUUUCUGGCCUUUGGGUGAAUUUGAGGAAAUCCGAGCUGAUUUCAGUGGGUAAUGUGGAGGGAUUGCCCGUGUUAGCGACGGUGUUAGGCUGUAAGGUGUCGACUUUACCGGUGACUUAUUUGGAUUUGCCGUUGGGAGCAUCGUUUAAAGCUCAAAGGGUAUGGGAAGGGGUUGUGGAACAAAUUCAACGUCAUUUAGCAGGCUGGAAGAGGCAAUAUCUUUCAGUCGAGGGCCGACUGACUCUGAUCAAGAGUGUGAAGGUGAUGGACUUACCCAUACAUCUUCGCGGCAAUUUGAUGUACCGAGUUAUUGGCGAUCGAUGUGGUGGUUUUGUGGACACCGACGAACUGUCGGGGGACCUUGGGGUGGUCCGAUUACGUGUCAGAUAGGGUUUUGGUGCGCCGACAGUGGAGGCUGAUACGCCGUCAAGAGGGACAACGGGUGGACUGCGUAUGAAGAAGAAUGGGCGUGACUGGAUGCAUGAUCGUCAGAAUGGGCAUAGAUUUGGGUAUAUACCAAAUUUUCAGAGAUUUAGGGCUAGACUAGAUUUUCAACGAUUUGGGGGAAAUCAAGGUCAACGUUUGCUUUUUAAGAAACAGCAAGCUCAGGAGUGGAAGGGCCACGGCAGGCACCGUAUGGGGUUAGGCCCAGUGGGUCAAGGAAAUAAGCAAAUGGGUCAUGGUGGGAAAAAUAAUAGGCUCGUAGGGGAAGGUGUUAGUUUGGGCUUAACUGUUCUGGGGAUGGGCUGGAGCUCUUAAUGUCUAGGUCCAUUCCUCAACAUGCGGGUCCGGAGACGGAUCUCCCAGUGCAACGGAUUUUUGAGUCCUUGUGCAACAGUGUGAGGGAGCACGUGUCGAAGGCAGGGAUGUUGGCCGAGACGUCAGUGAGAAUGGAGCAGGGUUUGUCGUCAAGGGAGUAGGAUGGGUCAUCCGCGAGACAUGGGCUUGGGUCUUCUGAUAAGGCAGCAGACUCUUUCAAGGCUCUCGUAGUGUUGUUGUGGAAGGGCAGAUGGCGACAAUAUCGGGUGUCAAGGCAAGGAUAUGUCGUCAACUGGAUGACGAGUUGUGGGACGAACAGGGAGUUGUUCUGUCAUGGGGUGCCAGGGCUGAAGCAGAAAUGGAGGAGGGCUGUGACAAUUUGGCUCUGGUUUUGCAACCGUUGGCCGUGGAUAGGGGUGACCAGGAGGGAUUGAUGGGCCCAACACCGAUGCAGGUUGAGAGUAGCAAUGUCUUGGGUAGGAAUGAGAUACCUGCAGCUAAGGAGGUCUCAGAUUGGGUGCUAGAACGCAUAGUUGAGGUUAGUCGACUACUGGGGUUGUAAUUCGAAGGCCACGAGGAGGAAGCUUUACGAUUAUUCUCAGUAGUGGAGGCGUCAUGGCGAAAGGGAUCUCCUAGUAAAGAAGUGGUUACAGUGGCGGAUACUUAGCGGUGAAGGCAGUAUUGCGUAGGGCAAGAGUUGAUGUGGUGUGCUUACAGGAGACAAAGAUGGAGGUGUUAAAGGUAGAGGUGGUGCGGGAAAUUUGGGGGGGUGUAGGUUUGUGGAAUGGCUACAUUUGCCGGCAAUGGGCACGACGGGUGGUGUAUUGCUUUGCUGGGACUUGCUGGGACUCGAGGGUUGUUGAGAAGGAAGAGAAGUUUGGCAGUUUUUCAGUGUCUUAUCUAUUUCGGUGUGUGGAGGACCAAUUUCGAUGGGUGUUCACGGGGGUGUAUGGUCCAGUACGACGUGUUGAUUGAGGAGAGUUCCUGUCAGAGUUGGAGGCUGUGGCGUUCCGUUGGUCUGAACCUUGGUGUAUGCGAGGUGACUUCAACAUGAUGAGGUUGCCAAGUGAGAGGGUGGGGAGUUCUCGGGAGUCGGGCUCUAUGUGGAGUUUCUGUUCUUUCAUUAAUGAAUUGUGUCUGAUUGACUUACCGCUUCAAGGAGGGAGAGUCACCUGGUCAAAUGGGCAGAGUCUGUCUCGGAUUGAUCGAUUUCUGAUCUCGAAGUGAUUGGGAGGAGCAUUUUUUGGAGGUGGCUCAGUUUCGAUUGGCCCGCCCGAUGUCUCAUCACUGACCUCUUUUACUUGAUGGUGGGGGCUUCGCAGUAACCUUACGCCUUUUCAUUUGGAGAAUAUAUGGUUGCAAGCAGAUGGUUUCUUGGAGAUGGUGUGGGAAUGUUGGUUUACUUAUGCAGUUACAAGCUCGCCUAGUUAUAUGUUGGCACAGAAGCUGAAAUUACUUAAAGAGGAUUUGAAAAGCUGGAAUAGGGAGGUGUUUGGCCAUUUAGAAGGUCAGAGAGAGGCAGUGUUGUCCUUAUUAUCUUUGUUGGAUGAUGUAGAGUCUGAAAGGGGCUUAUCACCGGAGGAUUUGCCGCGCUUCUGACACUUCCGUCGCCUGACACAGCACUGUCGGAAACCACCACACCAGAUUCAGGUCACGGCCAGCAAUAACCCACCGCUGUCGCAGCAAGGUCUCGUCGUCUUGUCGUGUCGGCAGAACAAACAAAAAGUCUUGGCCCCUGAUUGGUCGGAUUUUCACUUUCCCGAACUCCUUCCACCAACGACCGACCCAUUCUGUCAUGGCUAAAAAACCCACCCCCUUGUCCCCUCUCAAACCCACUUUACCCACUACUGCCCUGUCCAGAUAUUGGAACCACCCUUCCUCCGCCACACCAUUCACCACCUCAACUCCGCCAAUUGGGCUGAUUGUUCCCCCAGGCUUUGGAACAACCUUUUCUCGAUCAUCACCCCCUUGUCCUCACCUGCCUUCGACCCCCCUUCCGGCCCUAUAGCAAAACCUUCAAUAACCAGUGCUACCCCCUCCCAUCUAUCUCCAAACUCCGACAUAGGAAGGUAAAUCUGAGUCCUUUUGCCUUUUGACGUCACCACAAUCUGCACCGAAAAACCACCAUUGUCCUCGUCGCGAAGCCAGGUUGCCACGCUUCAUCCCUUCCCUUCUAGCCGGCCUGAAAAAGAAUGACGAUCGGACAUGUGGGACUCCGUCCUCAGUUUCCUGGUGGUCCAAUGUACUUCAAACCCCGACAGCACCACCUCCCGCUGCAACCCUUGCUCCUGCUCCCCUAUAGACAAUUGGUGGUGGCCUCUGUGAUCUGCAACCACUUCUUCAAACUCAAAGGACCUACCUCCAAGGAAAAGGAUUCGGCGACGUGGUCCUGUCGCCCCCUUCACCAGAAUCAUCCCAGGUAACUAUCGCAUCCCACUGGAAAUUCUUAAUAAGGAAAGUCUUAGAGAGAGUAGCAAAUAAAAAUAUAAGAAGCCUUCACACGAGACAUCAAUAAUGCUUAAAAGUCCAAUUCUAACUCUGGUUGACUUCAAUCACUUAAUAGUUCAUACACUUAUAAUGGGUUGUGCAUGCUCAUUGUCAAGAGUAGUCCCAUACCAUUACUGAGCAUGAAUCAAUUCGCAGC